rnacentral:rRNA from 1 species
GAGCGGCAGCGGGCUGUAGCAAUACAGUGCCGGCGAGCGGCGGACGGGUGAGGAAUACAUCGGAAUCUACCUUGUCGUGGGGGAUAACGUAGGGAAACUUACGCUAAUACCGCAUACGAACUACGGUUGAAAGCGGAGGACCGCAAGGCUUCGCGCGAUUGGAUGAGCCGAUGUCGGAUUAGCUAGUUGGCGGGGUAAAGGCCCACCAAGGCGACGAUCCGUAGCUGGUCUGAGAGGAUGAUCAGCCACACUGGAACUGAGACACGGUCCAGACUCCUACGGGAGGCAGCAGUGGGGAAUAUUGGACAAUGGGCGCAAGCCUGAUCCAGCCAUGCCGCGUGUGUGAAGAAGGCCUUCGGGUUGUAAAGCACUUUUGUUCGGGAAGAAAAGCUACCGGUUAAUACCCGGGAGUCAUGACGGUACCGAAAGAAUAAGCACUGGCUAACUUCGUGCCAGCAGCCGCGGUAAUACGAAGGGUGCAAGCGUUACUCGGAAUUACUGGGCGUAAAGCGUGCGUAGGUGGUGAGUUAAGUCUGUCGUGAAAGCCCCGGGCUCAACCUGGGAAUGGCGAUGGAUACUGGCUCGCUAGAGUGCGGUAGAGGAGAGUGGAAUUCCCGGUGUAGCAGUGAAAUGCGUAGAGAUCGGGAGGAACAUCAGUUGCGAAGGCGGCUCUCUGGACCAACACUGACACUGAGGCACG